GACGAACGCUGGCGGCGUGCCUAACACAUGCAAGUUGAGCGCUGAAGGUUGGUACUUGUACCAACUGGAUGAGCAGCGAACGGGUGAGUAACGCGUGGGGAAUCUGCCUUUGAGCGGGGGGCAACAUUUGGAAACGAAUGCUAAUACUGCAUAAAAACUUUAAACACAAGUUUUAAGUUUGAAAGAUGCAAUUGCAUCACUCAAAGAUGAUCCCGCGUUGUAUUAGCUAGUUGGUGAGGUAAAGGCUCACCAAGGCGAUGAUACAUAGCCGACCUGAGAGGGUGGUCGGGCAACUCGGGACUGGAACCCGGCCCAAGCUCCUACGGGGGGCAGCCGUAGGGGAUCUUCGGACAUUGGCGAAAGUCUGGACGAGCAAAGCCGCGUGAGUGGAGGAAGUUUUCGGAUCGUAAAACUCUGUUGGUAGAGAAGAACGUGGGUGAGAGUGGAAAGCUCAUGAAGUGACGGUAACUACCCAGAAAGGGACGGCUAACUACGUG
rnacentral:rRNA from 1 species